rnacentral:rRNA from 1 species
AACGAACGCUGGCGGCAGGCUUAACACAUGCAAGUCGAGCGCCCCGCAAGGGGAGCGGCAGACGGGUGAGUAACGCGUGGGAAUCUACCCAUCUCUACGGAAUAACGCAUGGAAACGUGUGCUAAUACCGUAUACGUCCUUCGGGAGAAAGAUUGAUCGGAGAUGGAUGAGCCCGCGUUGGAUUAGCUAGUUGGUGGGGUAAAGGCCUACCAAGGCGACGAUCCAUAGCUGGUCUGAGAGGAUGAUCAGCCACACUGGGACUGAGACACGGCCCAGACUCCUAUGGGAGGCAGCAGUGGGGAAUAUUGGACAAUGGGCGCAAGCCUGAUCCAGCCAUGCCGCGUGAGUGAUGAAGGCCCUAGGGUUGUAAAGCUCUUUCACCGGUGAAGAUAAUGACGGUAACCGGAGAAGAAGCCCCGGCUAACUUCGUGCCAGCAGCCGCAGUAACAC